CCCUGCCCUCUCUCUACCCUGUCCGUGGAAAAGUUGUCUUUCACGAAACCUGUCCCUGGCGCCAAAAAUGUUGGGGACUGCCACUGUAGAAUAUAUCCCAUACACAGAUGACAGUGUGACACCUCAUCUAAGCCACUUUCCCUGAGCGGCACUUCACUGUGAAGGAAACCCAGUACAACUCAGUGCAACACCUCCAUGCAUUUGCAGGACACAGGGUGCUUGGUCCAGGGCCAUGUGUGGGCCCCUGCCACCCAGGGUUGGGGGCUAGAAGGGGGAUACCUGGACUGUGGGACAAACAGAUAGGAGUGCCCCCCUCACUGUCAUCUCUCACAGCUUCAACCCCAUCCACCACCAGCAGCACCACGAGGACCACAGCCUGGACUUCUGCCACCAGCCCUGUCAGUGACAGCCCCCCAGGCCACUGGGGUGUCAUCUUCAGUGCGACAGUGGCCCUCCUGCUGCUGCUGGUGCUCAUCCUCCUCAUGAUCCUGUUCCUCUGCAAAGCCCUGGGAAGAGCCAGGACAGGGGCUAUGAAAUCCUUCUGAUGGAUUAUGCAAGUUCCUCUGUUGGUGACUAACCCGUCAAACAGCUGUUGAGAGAGGCUUCCUGCCUUCUUGAAGUACAUGUUCACAGGGCCUUUCUGGAGCCAGGGCCCCCAAAGGGUGACUCUGAACCCUGGGAACUACAGGCCACCUGGGCAGAAGGGUUGUGUCCUGCCACAUUAUGGGGAAGACGGCUUGGAGUUACAGAUCCAUCACUUCUCGAAGGUGACAUUAAAGGUCAUAGAAUCCAACUGCCAGUGGAAGGCCAGAACCCCUCUCUGAAACUCCAGUGUGUCCUGUGCUCUCUGCUGCCAUCUCUCCGAGGACUGGGAACUCACCGCCUUCUGCUCGGGUGGCUUGUUUGUGACUGUUUCCGUUAGGGAGUACCUUGCUUGCCUUCGGUCCUGAUGGGACCUCUGCUCACAGGAUGGAACCUGAGGCUCAGGUGUGUCAUGGCCAAAAAG